GGGAUCCGAUUUAGCCAUGCUAGUCGCACGAGUUCAGACUCGUGGCGAAUAGCUCAGUAACACGUGGCCAAACUACCCUUCGGAACACAAUACCCUCGGGAAACUGAGGCUAAUAGUGUAUACCAUACCACCACUGGAAUGAGUGGUAUGCCAAACGCUCCGGCGCCGAAGGAUGUGGCUGCGGCCGAUUAGGUAGACGGUGGGGUAACGGCCCACCGUGCCAAUAAUCGGUAUGGGUCAUGAGAGUGAGAACCCAGAGACGGAAUCUGAGACAAGAUUCCGGGCCCUACGGGGCGCAGCAGGCGCGAAACCUUUACACUGCACGACAGUGCGAUAGGGGGAUCCCAAGUGCACAGGCAUAGCGCCUGUGCUUUUCGGUACCCUAAGGCGGUACCAGAAUAAGGGCUGGGCAAGACCGGUGCCAGCCGCCGCGGUAAUACCGGCAGCCCAAGUGAUGGCCGAUCUUAUUGGGCCUAAAGCGUCCGUAGCUGGCCGCGCAAGUCCAUCGGGAAAUCCACCUGCUCAACAGGUGGGCGCCCGGUAGAAACUGCGUGGCUUGGGACCGGAAGGCGCGACGGGUACGUCCGGGGUAGGAGUGAAAUCCCGUAAUCCUGGACGGACCGCCGAUGGCGAAAGCACGUCGCGAGAACGGAUCCGACAGUGAGGGACGAAAGCCAGGGUCUCGAACCGGAUUAGAUACCCGGGUAGUCCUGGCCGUAAACAAUGUCUGCUAGGUGUGGCUCCCACUACGAGUGGGUGCUGUGCCGUAGGGAAGCCGCUAAGCAGACCGCCUGGGAAGUACGUCCGCAAGGAUGAAACUUAAAGGAAUUGGCGGGGG
rnacentral:rRNA from 1 species